AAAGUUAGUCAUGAACCAAACAGACCGAAGUGUAGUAUCUGUUCUUAUCAGUUUAAUAUCUGAUACAUGGAUCUUUGGAUCCGUGAGAUACUAAUUUAAUUUUUUGUGGGGAGGGCUCAUCGGAGCCCUCGACUGUCGUCUUGGCAUUGCACUAAAGCCUUGGCUGACGCACCCCAA
rnacentral:snRNA from 1 species